GUCAUUACGUCGUCCGAAACCUUAAAGGAACCGGAUUCCUCAAUGCAAAAGUACUGUGAAUUCAAAAGAAACUCAUUUCUUGAAGCAAAAGGUGAGGAAGAGGAGCAAGAAAUACCAAGGACUGCUGUCCACAGUACUGCCUUCUCCUGUGGCUGAGUCUCCCUGCUGUCCUGUGAUGGCUGCAGAUGGCAAUCUGGUACCCAAGAGAAGCCUUUCACAUUCAGCAGAGAGAGUUCCUUCCUGCUGCUUUCUCAUAAGAGAAAAGAACCUUCUUUACUAGAAGACCCCACUGCCCUUGGAUUUAUUUUUAUGUGAAAUAAUAAACAUCCUUAUGAGAUGUCCUUUAAUA